CAACAGACACCACCCCGGACCGUAGACCGACAACCAGCGGAUCGNGACGUUCUACUAGGAGAGAAGUGCANGACAACGCAGCCGGAUGUGCGAGCACGGCAGCGUGUCCGCGCGAUAGNCCGCGGGACAUCGCCCACCGACGCGAAGCCAGUNACGCUGACGAUGAAUCACCCCGUUGGAUCUUUUGGGUUUUUUAGGUUUCCCCCUGAACGGUUUCACGUACUCUUGAACU
rnacentral:rRNA from 1 species